UUGAUUGAUUGUUGGUAGCUUCCCACAGAGUCGUGGACCUCGGGGAUACAGCUGAGGCUAGGAGAAGCAUGAUAACAAAGAUCACCUGCCAAACAAGGAAGCACUUCUUUGAAGUCAUUUUCCCUUAAUAAGUUGUGUAAUACUCUUCAAGUUCAAACGUUUUUGUCUAUUUAUAGAGGCCCGUGCAACCAUGAAACUUCUUAACCACCCCGUAAGUAAUGUCAUUUGAUAAAAAAAAGGUGGAAAAUCUCAAGUAAUUUUUUUUAUUUUUAAACUAGCAAUGGGUGUAUUGAAUUGACCACUAAACCCAGCUUUCAUAAUACUCGCUUAUUUCCUUUGACGUUAAAAUUUUAAUUAAAAGAAAUAGUUUGUUUGCUGAGAUAAGUUUUUUAUUUUAAGGAUACACCCCCUGCACUUCAGCCUCGGCAGCAGUAGUAUUAUUAGCCAUGAUGAUGAAACAAGUUAAUACUACACAGAGGAAAGCAACGAAAACAAAAAAGCAGAAAUCUGCCAAGCAACAAACGUAACUUAUCAAAAGGACCAGACAAGACCAAGCAUGCCAAGACAGCACGACAAUACUGCUAACAAUAAGAUAAUCAAAAUACCUAAAUUGUAAACAUGGGGCAAAUACUUUUUCUUUAGUAAUGGAGUUGAAGAGUCGAGGUGGACAUGCGGUUUUGUGAUGAUACUGUUUUGCCAUUUUUUUCAAAUUUUAGUGAAGGAAUUUAGAGAAGGUGAUUUUAUCCAAAA
rnacentral:lncRNA from 1 species